GAUUAUUUUAUUAUAAGUUGUACUCUUCCAUAUCCUUUGGUCGUUUUUGAGUCAUGAUUUACACAUAUUUAGUCUCUUUACACCAUAGUGGAAGGAUGUAGUCGAUGAACAACUGGUGAAUAUUCUUGUACUAUCCUUUGUUGGUCUCGAGGGAUGGAGGCUAGGUUAGCCAAAAGAUGGUCAUCGGUUCAAGGAUGCAAUGUGCCCCUGCUUUUUCAAGGUAAUAAGGAGUAGAGAAAAUGCCUUGAGCCAAAGUUCAAGUAUCGAACGCUACAGCGCUGAAGUAAUCCAUGUCAUACUCUCCGGAAAAGCUUGAAUGACCUUCCACAAAUGGAUACCUAUACCUGAAAUCGACACAGGUGGGUAGGUACAGAAUACCUAAGGGCGCGAGACAACUCUCUUUAAGAAACUCGAUAAAAUAGUUUCGUAACUUCAGGAGAAGGGGUGCCUCCUCACAAAGGGGAUCAUAGUGACCAAAGCUGGAUGAAUGUUUGUUUGAGCUUAAGGGAUUGUGUAUCAUUGACUUG
rnacentral:ncRNA from 1 species